rnacentral:rRNA from 1 species
GACGGGGGGGGCAAGUGUUCUUCGGAAUGACUGGGCGUAAAGGGCACGUAGGCGGUGAAUCGGGUUGAAAGUGAAAGUCGCCAAAAAGUGGCGGAAUGCUCUCGAAACCAAUUCACUUGAGUGAGACAGAGGAGAGUGGAAUUCUCGGUGUAGCAGUGAAAUGCGUAGAUCUCGAGAGGAACACCAGUGGCGAAGGCGGGUCUCUGGACAACACCUGACGCUGAGGCACGAAAGCCAGGGGAGACGAACUGG